UACGUAGGGGGCGAGCGUUGUCCGGAAUUAUUGGGCGUAAAGAGCUCGUAGGCGGCUUAGUUAGUCGGCGGUGAAAUACUGAGGCUCAACCUCAGCACUGCCGUCGAUACUGCUAUGGCUAGAGUCUGGUAGAGGAGAAUGGAAUUCCCGGUGUAGCGGUGGAAUGCGCAGAUAUCGGGAGGAACACCUGUAGCGAAGGCGGUUCUCUGGGCCAGUACUGACGCUGAGGAGCGAAAGCGUGGGGAGCAAACAGG
rnacentral:misc_RNA from 1 species